rnacentral:lncRNA from 1 species
AGAUAAGGCGAAUACGGCCAGUUACAGAAAAAGGAAAAUGCCAAGUUCAGCUUGGGAUAGAAUGUAUAGCUAAUUUGUAAAAGUAUGGUUGAAGAAUAGUAUUGUUAUGUGUUAGAUAGCUGAUGAUUUGUGUUUAAGUAAAGGUUACUCGACCUUGGGGAAUAGUGUGUAAUGUAAUGUAUAAACAAUUUAUGUUUAUAUCUUCCGCAAAUAGUUGUAGAAAUAGCGAACCGGAUCCGCGGCGAUUCGGGACCCGGAUUCGGGGCUGCCACAUAUACUUUGAGUGUAGCUAAUAGUGAAUGAUUUUCUCAAGAAUAUCUCCACUAUACCAGUCAGAUUUACUCUCCUACUAAGGUAAAGGAUAUUAUUUUCUUUCAAUACUUGUAAGGGAUAUUAUUUUCAUUCAAUAAUCG